CGGUUCUACAAGUCCUCCGAUAAAUCCACCUGCUUAACGGAUGGGCUGCGGGGGAUACUGCAGAGCUAGGAGGCGGGAGAGGCAAACGGUACUCAGUGGGUAGGGGUAAAAUCCUUUGAUCUACUGAAGACCACCAGUGGCGAAGGCGGUUUGCCAGAACGCGCUCGACGGUGAGGGAUGAAAGCUGGGGGAGCAAACCGGAUUAGAUACCCGGGUAGUCCCAGCUAUAAACGAUGCAGACUCGGUGAUGAGUUGGCUUUAUGCCAACUCAGUGCCGCAGGGAAGCCGUUAAGUUUGCCGCCUGGGGA
rnacentral:rRNA from 1 species